UGGGGAAUAUUGGACAAUGGGGGCAACCCUGAUCCAGCCAUGCCGCGUGAGUGAUGAAGGCCCUAGGGUUGUAAAGCUCUUUUGUGCGGGAAGAUAAUGACGGUACCGCAAGAAUAAGCCCCGGCUAACUUCGUGCCAGCAGCCGCGGUAAUACGAAGGGGGCUAGCGUUGCUCGGAAUCACUGGGCGUAAAGGGUGCGUAGGCGGGUUUCUAAGUCAGAGGUGAAAGCCUGGAGCUCAACUCCAGAACUGCCUUUGAUACUGGAAGUCUUGAGUAUGGCAGAGGUGAGUGGAACUGCGAGUGUAGAGGUGAAAUUCGUAGAUAUUCGCAAGAACACCAGUGGCGAAGGCGGCUCACUGGGCCAUUACUGACGCUGAGGCACGAAAGCGUGGGGAGCAAAACAGGAUUAGAUACCCUGGUAGUCCACGCCGUAAACGAUGAAUGCCAGCCGUUAGUGGGUUUUACUCACUAGUGGCGCAGCUAACGCUUUAAGCAUUCCGCCUGGGGAGUACGGUCGCAAGAUUAAAAACUUAAAGGAAUUGAC
rnacentral:rRNA from 1 species